UAGCACUUCUCACCCUCUGUACCUUC
rnacentral:ncRNA from 2 species